AGUCGUAGGCGCUGGCCGCUGACAUGUUGAGGACUACGCGCGGCCCAGGCCUGGGCCCCCCGCUGCUCCAGGCCGCGCUGGGCCUUGGGCGGGCUGGGUGGCACUGGCCUGCGGGCCGGGCGGCGAGCGGGGGGCGCGGGCGGGCCUGGCUGCAGCCCACGGGCCGGGAGACGGGUGUGCAGGUGUACAACAGCCUCACCGGGAGGAAGGAACCCCUAAUCGUGGCGCACGCCGAAGCCGCCUCCUGGUAUAGCUGUGGACCAACUGUAUAUGAUCAUGCGCACCUUGGCCAUGCUUGCUCAUAUGUUAGAUUUGAUAUCAUUCGAAGGAUCCUAACCAAGGUUUUUGGAUGCAGCAUAGUCAUGGUGAUGGGUAUUACAGAUGUAGAUGAUAAAAUCAUCAAAAGAGCCAAUGAGAUGAAUAUUUCCCCCGCUUCCCUCGCCAGUCUUUAUGAGGAAGACUUCAAGCAGGACAUGGCAGCCCUGAAGGUUCUCCCACCCACGGUGUACCUGAGGGUAACCGAAAAUAUUCCUCAGAUAAUUUCUUUCAUUGAAGGAAUCAUUGCUCGUGGGAACGCUUAUUCAACGGCAAAAGGCAAUGUCUACUUCGAUCUGAAGUCUAGAGGAGACAAGUAUGGCAAAUUGGUCGGCGUGGUCCCUGGUCCAGUCGGAGAGCCAGCGGACUCUGACAAGCGUCAUGCCAGUGACUUCGCCCUGUGGAAGGCGGCCAAACCCCAGGAGGUGUUCUGGGCCUCUCCCUGGGGACCCGGGAGGCCGGGCUGGCACAUCGAGUGCUCUGCCAUCGCUAGUAUGGUAUUUGGAAGUCAACUGGAUAUCCAUUCAGGUGGGAUAGAUUUAGCUUUUCCACAUCAUGAAAACGAAAUUGCACAGUGCGAAGUCUUUCAUCAGUGCGAGCAGUGGGGAAAUUAUUUUCUGCAUUCUGCUGUCUGCUCUCAGAAGUGGAUGCAACACCAUGAGUUAAGCAACACCUCGAACCCAGCAGUUUUGGAAUUCACUUGGAUGCACUGGAAGAGUCGUAUUUCCAAGUUUACAGGGUCACGAUUAACUAGUCUUAUUACCUUUUGGGGAUGGACAGCUAAGGUAUUUGAGAUGAAGAAAGAUAAAGAGUGUUUGGUAGUGAUAGGAUUUGGAGAUGCAAACUUCGACAUCUAAAAUACAGAAAAUUAACAAAUACUAUCUUUUGAAGUCCUUGAAUUGGGAAAUUAGGAUGUCACAGUAAAGUGACAUUAAGUGCAGAAGUGCUCUGGUUUUCUGGUCCGCAGCAGAGUUCACUUGGGUUUCUUCGUGAAAGUACAUGAGGCUGAUUGCCCCGAAGUCACUUCCUGCAGCAUGUCCUUCACCCCGGGCUUACCCUGUUGAGUCGGGGAACCCAGCAGGCGGCUCUGCCCCUACCAUUACCUACUAUGUCUGCCUCUCACAGUGCCCCAGUUUUUGUCUAAAAAUGAAGCAGAAACAAAGCUGGCUGCGUGGCUGUUUGAGGACUUAGGAGCUGUUGUCCAGCACCCCAUACCAUUUCCCUGGGGAGGGCUCAGCACUAGCUGAAAUCCACUUUAUUCCGGUGUCGGUGGAGUUUCUAAUCAGAACAAACGCCUGCCGCCCUCACUUCCGUUUCAGCUGGCGCUCACAUGGGAAGGGGGUGCACGCUGCCCAGUGGUGGAAUAUUUAAGGCAUCGCCCCUCAGGGAGCCGAGCACUGAUUUCCACAGCCGGGGGCCUGCACUCCACUUUUGACCAUGGGGAAGGAGGUCUCUCUUCCGUGGCCCAAGGACUUCUGAAUUGUGUUCUUGGAGAGGAAGCGUGCUGGGAGCCCAGAUAGUGGGGCUGAGACACUGUGUCUCAGGCACAGAGGUAGUCGUGUCCCUUGUCCCAGAUGAAGAAAGAUAAAGAGUGUUUGGUAGUGAUAGAUUUGGAGAUGCAAACUUUGACAUCUGAAAUACAGGAAAUUAACAAAUACUAGUUUUUGAAACCCUUGAAUUGGGAAAUUAAGAUGUCACAGUAAGGUGACAUUAAAUGCAGAAGUGCUCCGGUUUUCUGGUCCGCAGCAGGGUUCACUUGGGUUUCUUCAUGAAAGUAAAUAGAUGAGGCUGAUUGCCCCGAAGUCACUUCCUCGUUGACUUCGUUCAGGGCUCAGUUCAGCGCUCCCUGAACUGUCUGAGGAGCUGGAGUUGCUCCCUCCGCAGGCACGUUUCUGUCUGCAGGUUUAUCCUGUUCAGUAGGUCAGGGUUUGUUACUGACAACCAUGACCUGCUGUGAGCCCUUCUGCGAGUGUGGAGCUGGGGGGCAAGAAGGGCAGCCUUAGCUGUGCCAACGCUUCGUCCUGUCAGGGGAUGAAAUAAUACCCAGGUCAUCAAAGUCUGUGAAACCAACUGCAACAGGACCUCUGAUUCUUCCCACUCAGAGACCCACAAGUGCCACUCUGUUUUUGGACAACGGUCAACAAGCUUCACCGCCAAGUGCCUGAUUUGUCAAAUGAGAGCUUUGUCGUUUCUUCAGAUGCUGACCAGUAUCUGAAUUCAGUAUCUCUGAAUUACAGGAGAGGAGAAAAUAGAUGAAAUACUGCUGUCAGUACCACGGUUGCUGGCUCUUGUUUAGCUUCUGAGUCAGCUGGGGCACCCCUGCCAUCUGCUCUCAGUGUGGGGCUGGGUGUCCCUGCACCGUGGAACAAGGGCAGGUCCUGUCUUCCCGGAAGGCCCAGCACGGGUGAAGAUUUGGGGGCAGAUUUAUACCAACAUACACUGGUCUAUACAUUGGAUAUGUGCAGGUUCCCAUUCGUUUCCUGGGGAGCCAUGUGUCCCUGAGGCCAGAGAGUCUCCUCACCCAGCUCAGACUGAAUGCUUUUGUUUUUGUUUCAGGGCAUUUGCACGCCAAAGGCAAAGAAGAAAAAAUGUCCAAAUCAUUAAAGAACUACAUUACUAUUAA